rnacentral:rRNA from 1 species
GACGAACGCUGGCGGCGUGCUUAACACAUGCAAGUCGAACGGUAAGGCCCUUCGGGGUACACGAGUGGCGAACGGGUGAGUAACACGUGGGUGAUCUGCCCUGCACUUCGGGAUAAGCCUGGGAAACUGGGUCUAAUACUGGAUAGGACCAUUGCCUGCAUGGGUGGUGGUGGAAAGCUUUUGCGGUGUGGGAUGGGCCCGCGGCCUAUCAGCUUGUUGGUGGGGUGAUGGCCUACCAAGGCGACGACGGGGAGCCGGCCUGAGAGGGUGACCGGCCACACUGGGACUGAGAUACGGCCCAGACUCCUACGGGAGGCAGCAGUGGGGAAUAUUGCACAAUGGGCGCAAGCCUGAUGCAGCGACGCCGCGUGAGGGAUGACGGCCUUCGGGUUGUAAACCUCCUUCAGCACCGACGAAGCGCAAGUGACGGUAGGUGCAGAAGAAGGACCGGCCAACUACGUGCCAGCCGCCGCGGUAA